UAAAGCUCUUCUCCAUCUUGCUAAGCCUCCAUUUGUCCGCAAUACCUCAUCUCCCUGGACGCAGGACAAGAACUCAGGACCCGCCUGGAGGUGCCCACAGCAGAAUCCACAUGCCGUCCAUCUGGUCCAGCCUCACGCAGAGCCACAACUGUGCUGGCGCCUGGAGCUGCCAGCCCCACUGCAGCAGCCGGACUGACAUUCAGACGUGGAGCAAGUUGGACUGCAUAGGGACCCACCAGUGAGAUGGACGCUGUCUGUAAACGGGGAAAUUUAUGGAAAGAUGUCCUCCUGCAACUGCUGAAAAUGCAACAUGCUGCCCAGGUCCUGCUCAGACCACUGACAACUCAGAAGUUAAUACUCAGAGUGGAAAGGUGAGUAAAGGCUGUUUAAUGACCACCCCAUGAAAAGAGUCAGAAUUACAUCCCUCUUGAUUCCUGUUUCUUUCUGAACAACAUAAAUGUAAUGUAAGCCAAGCUAAUACAUGCUGUUUUGUGGUAUAUAAUGGGUUUUCUGUAGCCAGAUGUGGCGCUGAUUAUUAUUUUUUUUCUGCAAACCUGUGUUACUUUCAGCGUAGCAAAGUGUAGUACAUGAGCAAGCGUUUCAAGCCAGACGGAGUUAAUCAUCUCUGUCACUGAAUUGGAGCUCACGGUCUGCUGGACAACUGUGCUGAGUGGAAAGGAAGCCUCGAUGGCUAAGUCACUUGUCCAACCUCAGACACUGGCAGAUCCAGGAUUCAAACAGCUAGACUCCAAAUGUGUUUCCUUUAACCUCUUUUCUACCUUUUCAACUUGAUUCCACACAUCACCACUGGGAAAGCUUAGAGUCCAACCUAUGACUACGUAGCCAAUAAAAGGGAAUGAAUCAUUGCAGGACAGUAUUUCCUGGCAUCGAGCUCUGUGCACCAGAGACCACGCUGCAAGCAGAUAGGAGCUGACUGACCUUAAGUGACUCUCAAUCUAAUAAAGUCAAGGCCAGAAAUUUUGGUCUAGCAACACUAAAGCCAGUGAUUUGGAAUUUCAGGUAAGUUGAAAGUAAUAAUUUGAUAAGCAUUUGGGGAUAUUGAGUAUCCCAUAUGAUGGAAUCAGGUUUCAAGCAAAUCAAAAAACAAAUGAAAAAAAACCCUACUUCACAAAAAGUAUUGCCUGCCAGGGUUAAUAAUAAUAUUAGCACAUUGGGGUGUGUGUGUUUGUGUUUGUGUGUGUGUGUGUGUAUGUGUGCCUUGCUCUUGUUAUUGCUAUAGGAAAUGAUUCAUUUUAGGCCAUUUUUCCCUUUUAUUAUCAUUUUUUGUUGAUACAGUUAAGCACCAGAAGUGCAAUACUUUCUGUGUUCUGAACAUUGUGUUGAAGAUUGCUGAUUUUUUCAAUUUUCUAAGAGUUUUGUCUUCCCAAUUCUUAUUGAUUUGCCAGUCUAUGAGACUGUGGAUGAAAAGAGCUUUGAAUAGUUCAUUCCAUGAAUCUAAAAGAAGAGCAAUAAAGAUCCCAUUUCCAAUUGAUGAGGAAGGCAUUCAGUAUAUGCUUCUGAAACAACUAUCUAGCAACCUAGAGCCAAAGAAAGUUAAAUCUUUACCUCAUACUUGAUACUAAAAGUAAUUACUGAUGAAUUAAAUAUAAAAUAUAAAAGCAUAAAAUAAUAAAAAUAUUAGUGAAAUUUUUAUAAAUUUUGGGCAUGAAAACUUUUUUAUAUAGGACAUCCAAAGCAGAUGUAAAAAUAAAAAUAUUUAUAAAUGUAAAUAUGUGAAUCAAAAUGUUACUAUGCAAACAUCAUGUAUUAGUCCAUUUUCAGGGAAAUGCAAAUCGAAACCACAAUGUGAUACAACCUUAC
rnacentral:lncRNA from 1 species